GAUGAACGCUGGCGGCGUGCCUAAUACAUGCAAGUCGAGCGAACAGAUGAGGAUCUUGCUCCUCUGACGUUAGCGGCGGACGGGUGAGUAACACGUGGAUAACCUACCUAUAAGACUGGGAUAACUUCGGGAAACCGGAGCUAAUACCGGAUAAUAUAUUGAACCGCAUGGUUCAAUAUUGAAAGACGGUUUUGCUGUCACUUAUAGAUGGAUCCGCGCCGCAUUAGCUAGUUGGUAAGGUAACGGCUUACCAAGGCAACGAUGCGUAGCCGACCUGAGAGGGUGAGCGGCCACACUGGAACUGAGACACGGUCCAGACUCCUACGGGAGGCAGUAGUAGGGAAUCUUCCGCAAUGGGCGAAAGCCUGACGGAGCAACGCCGCGUGAGUGAUGAAGGUCUUCGGAUCGUAAAACUCUGUUAUUAGGGAAGAACAAAUGUGUAAGUAACUAUGCACGUCUUGACGGUACCUAAACAGAAAGCCACGGCUAACUACGUG
rnacentral:rRNA from 1 species